rnacentral:rRNA from 1 species
GAUGAACGCUGGCUACAGGCUUAACACAUGCAAGUCGAGGGGAAACGCCAGGGAAGCUUGCUUCCCCGGGCGUCGACCGGCGCACGGGUGAGUAACGCGUAUCCAACCUGCCUCUGACUGAGGGCUAACCCGUCGAAAGUCGGCCUAAUACCAAAUGGCAUCGUCGGCGGGCAUCCAACGACGAUUAAAGAUUUCAUCGGUCAGUGAUGGGGAUGCGUCUGAUUAGCUUGUUGGCGAGGUAACGGCCCACCAAGGCGACGAUCACUAGGGGUUCUGGGAGGAAGCCCCACCACAUUUGAGCUGAGACACGGUCCACACUCGUACGGGAGGCAGCAGUGAGGAAUAUUGGUCGAUGAGCGCUAGCCUGAACCAGCCAAGUGGCUUGCAGGAUUACUCCGCUAUGGGUUCUAAGCUGCUUGGAUGCGAGGAUAAAGUAAGGAACGUGUCCUUCAUUGCAGGUACCGCAUGAAUAAGGACCGGCUAAUUCCGUG